GGAGCGCUCAGAGCAGGGGCCUGAAGAAGUGACUCCUCUGUCCACUGCAGACACAACAGGAAUCUAGGUUCACUGAUAAGAGGCAGAAAACUUGUGGCCCUCUAAGGAACAAACACCCUACUCAU